GGUGGAGGAGCAGCAGCGAUUUUCUUAGCCAUUUUCUUACCAACAGAGGCCAAAGGAGGCAGCAGUGGACUACACUGUGGGUUGUCUUUGCGAGGAAGUGGCAUUGGGCAGAGAUGCAGUUCAGCAAACUUAUCAUUGCAGCAAUUUCGGAGCUGACUUUUCGACAGUGCAAGAUCUAGAAAUGUGUGCAAGACAUGCGAAAACCACCACCAUUAACACUGAAGAUGUGAAGCUCUUAGCCAGAAGGAGUAAUUCACCGCUAAAAUACAUUCAGACAAAAGUGAAGAGCUUGCGCAGAUUAACCUAGAACGAAAGGCACAGAAGACAAAGAAGAGGAUGGAAACAAAAAUGCAAGGGAGCCAGCAGAGGCUGGAGUACAGGAAAGUUAAGAAUUAAA
rnacentral:lncRNA from 10 species